rnacentral:lncRNA from 1 species
GGUAUAUUUUCCUUCUGUAAACUUUAAUAUUCUACUUAUGAAGAGAUAGGAAAACAGACACAUUCUAAUAUAUAUUGUUGAUCAUUGUUGAGGAAGAAUACUAAGAUUAAAUAAGCAUGCCAGCAUGUUUAGCAAUUGAAGGCACUCAUUACUAAUUGGUUGAAUCCAUUUCUUUCCAGCUUUUAAAGAAAAAUGAAUGGUCUCUCCAAACUAAAUUAAGAAAUUCAUCUGAAGCAUUUUAUCAUGAUCAAUGAAAAUGAAGAGAGACCAGAUGAUGUAAGUGCUGAAGGAAUAAAGAAAUGAAGGAACAAAGGAAUGAAGGAAAUUAAGCUAAACUAAAAGUCAGAGAACUGGGUUCUACUAAGUCUGUCAAUAAGUAGCUUCAUGAUUUAAGAUUGCAGAUUUAGUAAUAAAAGAUGAAAAUUACAAAAUUCAAUUCAGUCUAGAUAUAAGGAAUAUAAAGGAUAUAAAGGAAAACUUCCUAACAACUUUUAUCAAAAAAUGGAAUUUGUUACCUUGGAUGAUAUUGAAUCUUCCUCAUUCAAGACUUGAAGCAAAUAUGAGG